rnacentral:lncRNA from 1 species
AUGGUUCUGGUCUUUCAUAUCUGCUUGUUGCUUAGCUUGACGUUAUUUCUGCUUUUUGUUCUCCUUCCUUUCUGUAUAACGUGGUCCUGCCUAAGUUCAUGCUCCUUUAUCCUGCAUGGCCCUGGGGAGAGAUUCCAGGAGCGGGCCCUCCCCUUGGAUCACCACAUCAGCGCGAGGUUCUCCCUGGCAUCCUUGACCUGCAUUCCUGAUUCUGGCUUGGCCACCAGGAAUGCAGCCAAUGUGUGACAAAGCCACAGGAGGAUCAAAAGCUACGGAGUGACCUGAACAGCCUUGGAUGCAGGUGACACGUGUGCAAGGAGUUCAGGUCAACGAGCGUCAUGGUCAGGCCAGCGGGUCGUGGGGUCUGCUCAGCCGGGGUCUGAGUCCAGCUCUCACUGGUUAAAUUUAGUGGAUAAAUUGCUUCACCUUGCUAAGCCUCAGUUUUCUUCUCUGCGAAAUGGGCUGGUGGGGCCUCUGCAUGCAUUACUUGAUGGGAAGGGUGUAAAGCUCUGAGCGGCUCACAGCCUGGCUCCCCCCACCGCCUUUCCUCCUCUUCCUCUCCCUCGCCUCUCUUUUCUGCCUUCUGAUGUGUGAAUAGGACUUGAAAGCCAGGGUGGCGGCCCUGUGAGGGUUGCUCUCUGCAUAACGAGCUUUCAUCCCCGUUGCCAUGACAGCUGUGAUGUUCUCCCCUCGGGAGCAGCCGAGGUCUAACAACUGCUGAAGAGGCCCCUUUAGAGCACGUUGAACACUCUAAAGAGAAUUUCCGCUCCCACAUCAGGGCACUUGACAAUCGUUUUCCUCCUCGAGACUCAGCUCCGAGGAGUGGUGUCCAGCUGUGGGAAGGGAUGCCGGGCUGGGUUCAAUCUUUAAUGAGAGCUAUCUGGGGUGUGGCACGGCCUUCCCCCUCCAUCAUUCCUUGCCGUCUCCCAGGGAGGGAGCUGGUCCUGCUGACCGUCAGCCAAGGCCCGUGCUGGGAGGUCCCUGUGGGCACAGAACCUCCUUUUCAAAGGCUGUCUCUCUGGUGAGCAGCCGUCCACAUUUACAUGACAUUUGUUCAGGAGUGGCUCUUACCUGUGCAUCACUGUUGUUUAAACAUAAAUUUACCGCCCCCUCCUUUUAAGCACCAUAGUAGGCAUAGAUCUGAUAGCCUACCAGCAGAACUUUAGAUUGUCAUCUUAGGGCCAGUUGGUCCUCAGCCGCAUCACAAGCCAGAGGAAAGAACGAGGGUGUUUGGCCCCUGGGUAUAGGAAAUAGAUUUGAGCUUUCCAUCUAUGAGAUGCCCAAUGAAAAUUUCAGUUAUUUGAUAAUGCGAGACACGGUUCCCCAAAUUUCUUCCCUUUCUAAAACAGCACCAGUGAAACAUCAUUAACAUCGAGAAUGCUUAUUACAACACUCUCGGUUGCAAAUGACGGACUCUCAGCUCAAAUAAACAUAAGCAAAGGCCGUGUUUAGACUCA